ANAGUAUUCCCUCCGUCCCAAAAUUCUUGUCUUACAUUUGUUUAGAUACGGAUGUAUCUAACACUAAAAUGUAACUAGAUACAUCCGUAUUUAGACAAAUUUAAGACAAGAAUUUUGGGACGGAGGGAGUACAAA
rnacentral:pre_miRNA from 1 species